CGGCAUGCUUUACACAUGCAAGUCGAACGGUAACAGGUCUUCGGAUGCUGACGAGUGGCGAACGGGUGAGUAAUACAUCGGAACGUGCCUAGUAGUGGGGGAUAACUACUCGAAAGAGUAGCUAAUACCGCAUGAGAUCUACGGAUGAAAGCAGGGGACCUUCGGGCCUUGUGCUACUAGAGCGGCUGAUGGCAGAUUAGGUAGUUGGUGGGGUAAAGGCUUACCAAGCCUGCGAUCUGUAGCUGGUCUGAGAGGACGACCAGCCACACUGGGACUGAGACACGGCCCAGACUCCUACGGGAGGCAGCAGUGGGGAAUUUUGGACAAUGGGCGAAAGCCUGAUCCAGCAAUGCCGCGUGCAGGAUGAAGGCCCUCGGGUUGUAAACUGCUUUUGUACGGAACGAAAAGCCUGGGGCUAAUAUCCCCGGGUCAUGACGGUACCGUAAGAAUAAGCACCGGCUAACUAC
rnacentral:rRNA from 1 species